CCUACGGGAGGCUGCAGUGGGGAAUAUUGGACAAUGGGGGCAACCCUGAUCCAGCCAUGCCGCGUGUGUGAAGAAGGCCCUCGGGUUGUAAAGCACUUUCAGUGAGGAAGAACGCCUGGUGGUUAAUACCCAUCAGGAAAGACAUCACUCACAGAAGAAGCACCGGCUAACUCCGUGCCAGCAGCCGCGGUAAUACGGAGGGUGCGAGCGUUAAUCGGAAUUACUGGGCGUAAAGCGCUCGUAGGUGGCUUGAUAAGCCGGUUGUGAAAGCCCCGGGCUCAACCUGGGAACGGCAUCCGGAACUGUCAAGCUAGAGUGCAGGAGAGGAAGGUAGAAUUCCCGGUGUAGCGGUGAAAUGCGUAGAGAUCGGGAGGAAUACCAGUGGCGAAGGCGGCCUUCUGGACUGACACUGACACUGAGGUGCGAAAGCGUGGGUAGCAAACAGGAUUAGAUACCCGAGUAGUC
rnacentral:rRNA from 1 species